rnacentral:RNase_P_RNA from 2 species
GUGAGCCGGUGAGCAGUUACGGGACACUCCCGGUGUCUCGAGGAAACUCCACCCACUUGGCGGAGGCAUAGCGUGUUGUUGCGUGCCUGGGAGACUGGGCGCGGGGGCGCAGAAACGAAACCUUGCUGCUGCCGAUGGUACGAUGAGGAUGUGAGUCUGAGGAUGGUGGCUGUGUAGGAUGAAACGGGCUCCCGCUGUGCUGUGAAAGGAGAUGUAGACGCCGAUGAGCUCCGCCCGAAGGCGCGGGUACUCUGAUUAGACGGAUGCUGCUCUGAACAGAAGGUGGGUUACGGCCGGGACGC